GGGGGGGGGGGGGGGGGGGGGGGGGGGGGGGGGGGGGUGGGGGGGGGGGCGUUCGGGGGUGCGCGGGUGGCGAACGGGGGAGUGACGCGUGAGUAACCUGCCCGCGACGUUGGGGUACCGCUGGGAAACUGGUGCUAAUACUGGGUAUGUGCUCCUGCUGCCUGGUGGGGGUUGGAAGGCUCCGGGGGUUGUGGGUGGACUCGCGGCCUAUCAGCUUGUUGGUGGGGUAGUGGCCUACCAAGGCGGCGACGGGUAGCCGGCCUGGGAGGGUGACAGGCCACAUUGGGACUGAGAUACGGCCCAGACUCCUACGGGAGGCAGCAGGGGGGAAUAUUGCAAAAUGGGCGCAAGCCUGAUGCAGCAACGCCGCGUGCGGGAUGACGGCCUUCGGGUUGUAAACCGCUUUCAGCAGGGAGGAAGCUUUUUGUGACGGUACCUGCAGAAGAAGCACCGGCUAACUACGUG
rnacentral:rRNA from 1 species